ensembl:snRNA U6 U6 spliceosomal RNA
GUGCUCACUUCAGCAGCACAUACACUAAAAUUGGAACGAUGUGGAGAUCAGCACGGCCCCUGCACAAGGAUGACGGGCCAAUUCGUGAAGCCUUCCGUAUUUUC